rnacentral:rRNA from 1 species
AGUGAGCGCUGGCGGUAGGCCUAACACAUGCAAGUCGAACGGCAGCACAGUAAGAGCUUGCUCUUACGGGUGGCGAGUGGCGGACGGGUGAGGAAUACAUCGGAAUCUACUUUUUCGUGGGGGAUAACGUAGGGAAACUUACGCUAAUACCGCAUACGACCUACGGGUGAAAGCAGGGGAUCUUCGGACCUUGCGCGAUUGAAUGAGCCGAUGUCGGAUUAGCUAGUUGGCGGGGUAAAGGCCCACCAAGGCGACGAUCCGUAGCUGGUCUGAGAGGAUGAUCAGCCACACUGGAACUGAGACACGGUCCAGACUCCUACGGGAGGCAGCAGUGGGGAAUAUUGGACAAUGGGCGCAAGCCUGAUCCAGCCAUACCGCGUGGGUGAAGAAGGCCUUCGGGUUGUAAAGCCCUUUUGUCGGGAAAGAAAAGCAGCAGGUUAAUACCCCGCUGUUCUGACGGUACCCAAAGAAUAAGCACCGGCUAACUUCGUG